UACGUAGGGUGCGAGCGUUAAUCGGAAUUAUUGGGCGUAAAGAGCUCGUAGGCGGUUUGUCGCGUCUGCUGUGAAAACUGGAGGCUCAACCUCCAGCCUGCAGUGGGUACGGGCAGACUAGAGUGCGGUAGGGGAGAUUGGAAUUCCUGGUGUAGCGGUGGAAUGCGCAGAUAUCAGGAGGAACACCGAUGGCGAAGGCAGAUCUCUGGGCCGUAACUGACGCUGAGGAGCGAAAGCAUGGGGAGCGAACAGG
rnacentral:rRNA from 1 species